AAUAUUUUACAACUUUGAAAUUAAGGCUUGGAUUGGAGAAAAGUUAAGGAGUUUGGGUGAUUUUGGUGCUUGGAGCUUAGAAAUUAGUGGAUUACCGGCACCUGAUCAGGAGCACCCAGGGGUUUGGAAUCUCUGUUAUUGCGGGACAACAGGAAAGGGUAAGUCAGUGGCUGAUCAACGAUGAGUUUGAGGAGCAAAACGAAGAAUGUACAUGUUCAAGCCAUAUCAGACCAAGCGGGUUAAGGGUCUAUCAGUGUUGAACUUUUGAAUUCUGUUUUGCCGCUUAGGUCGGCUAGAAAGAAAAGACUUGUAAUAAGUUUGUAAUUAUUUUUGGGAUCCCAACUAUUUUGAAAAGUUUAAAUAUAUUACAAGUUUAUUUUCAUUCUGAUUAAUAUAAAAGUUUAAAUUCUGCGCUA